GAGCGUCUGGCAACUUCUCAGCGU
rnacentral:siRNA from 1 species